CAUCGUCUUUGUAGCUUUUGGGAGGAGAAAACGAGGGGAGCUCUACUCGUCGACGAAGUGAAGCAAAAUCUGUUCCUCUCCUCCUCUACGACGAAUCAAAUCGAUGCCUGCUUUCCUCCUCGAAUGAAAUCGACGUCUGUUCUCCUCCUCGACGACGAAGAAUGAAAUUGGUUUCUGGACUGCUGCUGAACUCAAGCUUCUUCUCAAUCAGACUGCUCAUCAUCUUCAGAUUCUUUCUCUUGUUUGACUGUAACAUAAGAGCAUCUCUAGGUUAGAUAAAAAAAAAAUCAGUGUUUAAGAUUCAGACAUCGAUGGUGACCAAAGUAUAUAUCAUGUACUACUCAAUGUACGGUCAUGUGGAGACAUUAGCUGAAUAGAUAAGGAAGGGAGCUGCUUCUGUUGAAGGCGUUGAAGCCAAGCUAUGGCAGGCUUGGGAGAAUCAUGAGAAGUGAGAGGCCGAGAUGGAGAUGAAAAAAUGGAGGUAUGAUUCUCAAUCAAAAUACUUCGUGGACCUGUUUAAACAGUUUUGGUGUUGGUUUGGAUUGAAUAUUUAAUCGAAUAGGUUCUUUGAAAAUUAAUAAAUAUCUUCAAAUUGUUUUGAAGUUUGAAUUGAAAGUGUGAUCUUGUGUGGAUAAAACUUCUAUCUUUACUCUUGUAGUUAACGACUUUGCUCUAGUUUGAAAGCAUUUCUAAUGA